rnacentral:rRNA from 1 species
UACAGAGGGUGCAAGCGUUAAUCGGAAUUACUGGGCGUAAAGCGCGCGUAGGCGGCUGUCUAAGUCGGGUGUGAAAGCCCCGGGCUCAACCUGGGAACUGCAUUCGAUACUGGACGGCUAGAGUAUGAAAGAGGGAGGUAGAAUUCCACGUGUAGCGGUGAAAUGCGUAGAUAUGUGGAGGAAUACCGGUGGCGAAGGCGGCCUCCUGGUUCAAUACUGACGCUGAGGUGCGAAAGCGUGGGGAGCAAACAGG